rnacentral:tRNA from 1 species
AUUUUUCUAGUAUAAUAAGUACGGUAGACUUCCAAUCUAAAGGUCUAGAGAAUCUAGGGAAAAUA